GGGUCCGUGGGCACUGACGCCCACGGAGGUUACGCGGCUGGUCGGGCCGCCAUCCG
ncrna:unclassified sequences nhaA-I RNA